rnacentral:rRNA from 1 species
AGAACGAACGCUGGCGGCAUGCCUAAUACAUGCAAGUCGAACGAACACUUCGGUGUUAGUGGCGCACGGGUGCGUAACGCGUGGGAAUCUGCCCUUGGGUUCGGAAUAACAGUUGGAAACGACUGCUAAUACCGGAUGAUGACGAAAGUCCAAAGAUUUAUCGCCCAGGGAUGAGCCCGCGUAGGAUUAGCUAGUUGGUGAGGUAAAGGCUC